rnacentral:rRNA from 1 species
GCUUGCACCCUGUCGGCGAGCGGCGGACGGCUGAGUAACGCGUGGGAAUCUACCCUAAAGUGAGGGAUAACCGCCCGAAAGGGUGGCUAAUACCGCAUAUGAUCUUCGGAUUAAAGGAUUUAUCCGCUUAGGAAGAGCCCGCGUUAGAUUAGGUAGUUGGUAGGGUAAUGGCCUACCAAGCCAACGAUCUAUAGCUGGUCUGAGAGGAUGAUCAGCCAGACUGGAACUGAGACACGGUCCAG